AAUAUUGGGCAAUGGACGCAAGUCUGACCCAGCCGAUCCCGCGUGCAGGACGAAUGCCNNNGGGUUGUAAACUGCUUUUGUUUGGGAAGAAAUGUAUUCUUUUAAGAGUAUUUGACGGUACCAGACGAAUAAGCACC
rnacentral:rRNA from 1 species